GAACGUCAAAAAGGUGAGGAACCGGUUCUAGUCAUGGAUCAAGGAAUUUUAGAUACUACUAAUAACGGUGUUGAAAAUGAGAAGUAUGGACCAUGGAUGUUAGUUGACCGCCAGAGUAAGAGGAAUAGUAGGAAACAAAGUGAUGAUCGACAAGAUAAGAAAAAGGGUAGAUUCAUCGGGAUCUAGAGUUAAUGUGCUACAAG
rnacentral:lncRNA from 1 species